rnacentral:rRNA from 1 species
AUUGAACGCUGGCGGCAUGCUUUACACAUGCAAGUCGAACGGCAGCGCGGACUUCGGUCUGGCGGCGAGUGGCGAACGGGUGAGUAAUACAUCGGAACAUGCCAAGAAGUUUGGGAUAACUCAUCGAAAGAUGAGCUAAUACCGGAUAAUCUCUGAGGAGGAAAGCUGGGGACCAGAGAUGGCCUGGUGCUUUUUGAUUGGCCGAUGGUCGAUUAGCUAGUUGGUUGGGUAAGAGCUAACCAAGGCGAUGAUCGAUAGCUGUUCUGAGAGGAAGAGCAGCCACGCUGGGACUGAGACACGGCCCAGACUCCUACGGGAGGCAGCAGUGGGGAAUUUUGGACAAUGGGGGCAACCCUGAUCCAGCAACGCCGCGUGAAUGAAGAAGGCCUUCGGGUUGUAAAGUUCUUUUAUUUGGGGCAAAUCUCUGAUAUGAAUAGUAUUAGGGGAUGAGAGUACCAAAGGAAUAAGCACCGGCUAACUACGUGCCAGCCGCCGCCGUAA